rnacentral:rRNA from 1 species
CAGUUCGGAUUGGAGUCUGCAACUCGACUCCAUGAAGCUGGAUUCGCUAGUAAUCGCGCAUCAGCCAUGGCGCGGUGAAUACGUUCCCGGGCCUUGUACACACCGCCCGUCAAGCCAUGGGAGUCGGGAGUGCCUGAAGUUCGUGACCGUCACAGGAGCGACCUAAGGCAAGACCGGUGACUGGGGCUAAGUCGUAACAAGGUAAC